GAUGAACGCUAGCGGCAGGCCUAAUACAUGCCAGUCGAACGGGAUCCAGAUCAAAGCUUGCUUUGGUCUGGUGAGAGUGGCGCACGGGUGCGUAACGCGUGAGCAACCUACCCUUGUCAGGGGUAUAGCCCGGCGAAAGUCGGAUUAAUACCGCAUGACAGCAUUGAAAGGCAUCUUUCGAUGAUCAAAGAUUUAUCAGACAAGGAUGGGCUCGCGUGACAUUAGCUAGUUGGUCAGGUAACGGCUUACCAAGGCUGCGAUGUGUAGGGGCUCUGGGAGGGCGAUCCCCCAUCUUAGUACAGGACCAGGGACAAGGCUCCUGAGGCAGGCAGCAGUAAGGAAUAUUAGGCAAGGGACGGGAGUCUGAACCAGCCGGGCCGCGUGCAGGAGGACGGCGCUAUGGGUUGUAAGCUGCUUUUAUACAGGAACAGCCGUCGGUACGUGUACCGGUAUGAGUGUACCGUAAUAAUAAGGAUCGGCUAACUCCGUG
rnacentral:rRNA from 1 species